rnacentral:rRNA from 1 species
AUGUCCGGCCGCGGCAAGGGCGGGAAGGGCCUCGGCAAGGGCGGCGCGAAGCGUCAUCGGAAGGUGCUGCGGGACAACAUCCAGGGCAUCACCAAGCCGGCGAUCCGUCGUCUGGCUCGCCGUGGCGGCGUGAAGCGCAUCUCGGGGCUCAUCUACGAGGAGACCCGAGGCGUGCUCAAGAUCUUCCUCGAGAACGUCAUCCGCGACGCCGUCACCUACACCGAGCACGCCCGCCGCAAGACCGUCACCGCCAUGGACGUCGUCUACGCGCUCAAGCGACAGGGACGCACCCUCUACGGCUUCGGCGGCUGA